rnacentral:rRNA from 1 species
AGAGUUUGAUCCUGGCUCAGAUUGAACGCUGGCGGCAUGCUUUACACAUGCAAGUCGAACGGCAGCACGGGGGCAACCCUGGUGGCGAGUGGCGAACGGGUGAGUAAUGUAUCGGAACAUGUCCGGAAGUGGGGGAUAACGUAGCGAAAGUUACGCUAAUACCGCAUAUGCCCUGAGGGGGAAAGGAGGGGAUCGCAAGACCUUUCGCUUUCGGAGUGGCCGAUAUCAGAUUAGCUAGUUGGUGAGGUAAAGGCUCACCAAGGCGACGAUCUGUAGCUGGUCUGAGAGGACGACCAGCCACACUGGACUGACACACGCC